CGCGUCCGUUCUGUUCAUGAGU
rnacentral:miRNA from 14 species